AGAGGGCGUUGCAGAAUGUCACGAGUAGACACGAGGAUUCGACAGGACUUGGCUUUCAGUCGCAGCUCGGCAGUCUGUACGAGACGAGCGAGAUACGUGUAGUAAAGUGUGUAGUUUGUAUACAUAUACGUGCACGGUGCAUGUAUAUCACUACUCAUAGACAUACUCUCGCGUGUGUAAAGGUAACCGAUACGCCGGACGAGUUGACACACGCGCAGCAAUGGCGUACCCCUUUGAAGAAGCCUGAACGUGUUCUGUCGUUUAAUUUUUCUUUGUGCAGCUGUGUUUAAAGUGUGUGAAAAAGACAAAUAAUUUGAGUAAAAUUUCUUAUAUAUAAGGCAAUGAUAGAAUUGCAAAACAACGUCAGUAUAUUAAAGUGUUUCAAUCUUGUCGAAACGAAGAAACGAGACGUUACGCCCAGCCUGUUCAGAUCCAAGCCCCCAUUGCUUGCUCUGAUAUAUAAAUCUACUCUUCGUUCUCAUGAAUGUCUCUGAAUUUUGUAAAUAAAAAAUCUGAUUAAAAGUGGAAGUGUGGCAUUCUAACGUUUAAUUGCAAAUAUAAUACAUACAUGUAGCAAUCGAGAUAUUACGUGCGAAGGAUUUGUGAAAGAGUGAAGUGGAUUACUAUAUGUAUCGAGAAUUCGAAAGGGAAAAGACGAAAAAAAUACGUUUAUAUAGAGAAGAAAAGAUUUUGGAAUAGAAACGAGAGAUUAGAGAGAAACAAAUAGAAACGGAAAAUCAUAGAAGGCAAAGAUCGAUGUUGCAAGGAAGCCGGUAUCCAACAAAUCAGGGCCGGUGGUGUUCGAAUUCGUAGUCAGUUGUAAGCUCUUUACGACUUUUUUUUCCUUCUCUCUCUCGAAAUAUGCGAUAACGCUCUUUUGCUCAUGUACAUUGGGGGCUUCUGCCUCGAGGGCUUUCCUUGGUGUUGGAUAUAAUAGCUGAUUGGUCCAACCCUUGGAUAAGGCAACCCUCUCUCGCAGCGAUGAAUCGUACCAUUUUUUUUCAUCUCAUUUCAAGAUUUGCCCAUAAAAAUUGUGAAAAGUAGCACAAUUAUUAAGAGGAUCGUAUUGUCAAUACAAAGAAAAGAGAGAUAUUAAGAAACGUAUUAAGAAAAGAAGGAUAAAAACAAGGAAAGAAAAAGAAAAAAAAAGAGAAAUAAAAGAAAGAGGUUAGUCAAGAAAACAAAAAAAAAAAAGUGCUGGAGAAUCGCGAAUUCGCGUCUCCGGCUGUGUGGUGAAAGAUCGGGUAAUCUCAACGCUGGGCGAGACGGAGAGCAGUGGAUCGUGGUCGUCAUCGGGGAGAAUAAUCACGAGGAUCCCACGAAAUGAGAGGCUAGCGUUCGAGGUGGGUCGUUGGUCAGCGGGCGUGCAAGAAGGGACGGUUCGGCGGCGGAAGCCUGGAUAGUAGGAGGUUUCCAACAUGGCCGCUGCCUGCUACGAGAAGGAAGUGGUGGUAGGUGCCGCUAUGCAUGGACACGGUCAUCACCAUCACCACCACCAUCAUCAUCACCAUCACCAUCACCAUCAUGGAAUCGGCGGCGGGUCUACCGGCGGUGGCGGCGGCCCGGCUGCCUCGGGUGCCGCGACGGGACCGAGCGGACAGCAAACCGUCCUACCGGCCGCAUCGACCGGCAUCCUCGACACCACCGUCACUGCUGCUGCCGUCGGCUCCGGUACGACCGCAAAUACAAAUACGACGACCGCCACCGCGACCGCAGCAGCUGUCGCAGCUGCGGCGGCAGCCGCUGCGGUUGCAGUCACCACCUACAAGGACUACAAGGAUUACUCGCAACCUCUCCACGUUGACUGCAGUGUCGAGUACGAGCUGCCGAGCCAAGCAAAACCACCACCCGGUGGCGGUGAACCUCUUCUCAUGAUACACCCAUGCUAUUAUCGACGAGCUGAACGUGAAAGGAGAAGUCCUUUCGUCAACAAUCUACCACCACCAGCAAACGCGCCUAUUUCGUCGAGGCGAAGCAGCAGACGAAGUGCCUCGGCCGCUGUCGUUGCCACCGCGACCGCAGCCGCUGCCGUUUCCUCAACCUCGUCCGUUGUUGCACCCUCUUCUACGGCUGCCGCCGUUUCUACCUCGACUGUGUCAUCUUCCAGUUCCGCUGUCGCAGCCGCAGCAGCAGUCUUAUCGGCAACUGUUGUCGCAACAAGCGAUUCAGGAUCGAAUCUCGUUUCCACAACCAGUCAAAUGUCUGCUGCGGCUAUGGCAGCUUCCUAUCGUGCGGCUCUCAAUGCUGCUGCAACUUUGUCGCAACAACAACAACAACAACAGCAACAAAGACGUCAACACCACCCGCAACAGCAACAACAAUCACAAGCACCACCACCGCCACAGCAGCAACAACAAAGUCAUCAUCAUCUUCAUCGAUCUCAUGCUCAUCCCCUCCACAAUCAACAACAACCGCAACAACAACAGCAACAGCAGCAGCAGCAGCAGCAGCAGCAAGUAAGCUCGGUGUCGUCAACCUCUUCCGCCACCGAACUAAUCUCUGCUGAUGAAAAAGCAGUCAUAUCAGGUAUUUAUCAACACUACUUCCGCGCAAUGCGCGCUCACAAUCAUCAGCAUCGACAGCAACAGCAGCAACCGCAGCAGCAACAAGCAACACAGCAACAUCGAACGACUCAUCAGAUUCAUCAUCAACCUCACCAAAGCGACCGAAGUUCCUCCUCGUCGGUGACACCAACGGUUACGUCAAUAUCCGGCAUAUUACGGCAGACUUAUCAACAGACGUAUAAUGCGACGAAUUCGAGUUCGUCAAGUCAUCUACGGGCAACAACGGCCUCAGUGGUCGGGCAUCAUCCAUAUAGGCGACCGUCGACGACGUUACGUGCAACGUCGCACAUUGGUCAACAGGCUUCUUCCUCUUCUUCCUCGUCCUCUUCCUCCUCGACGUCGAUCGGUGCUUCCAGCAGCGUUUCUUCUGGUGGCGUUUCCAGUGUAUACGCGAGCACAAUACACAGGCAUCAUGCCACCUCGCUACACGCCCUUCAAGCGGCUGGUUUUUACGAAACGCCUGGUUAUCAUGCGCUUUUGCCGCAGAGUUAGGUGUCUACCAGCAACGUGGUGAACCCGCCCGAGACCGACCCUAUUGCCAACCUUCAUUUAUUCACCUAAUCCGGCUACAAAGCUGUGUGCUCUCUCUUCCCUAUUGUACGACUUAUCUUCCAUACUCGUUAAAGCGCAUACGGGUUGGUCUAACUCUGCCUAGUACACUCGGGAUACAUCUAUCUCUGCGACAUACACGCUACUUCUCCCUACGUGUAUUCACUGUAUAUACGUAAAUAUGUAUGCAUACGUAUAUACGUGUAUGUAUGUAUGUAUCGUCGUCGACGCAACGAUCGUACGUGCCGUGCUCUCCGUGUUGGCAGUAGUGUGCGGGUGGCCGGACGGACGGACGGACGAGCAGAAAGCCACAGAAUAAACACACGACGCAUACAUACCACCACCAUCACCACUAUUAUACACAGAUACACAUUCAACCAGAGACAGAUGGAUGGAACCACGAACAACUGAAAUGGUCGUCUAUGUAGGCAUCGACCAAUUUCAUCCACCUGCGAUACGUGUGCGCUUCUCAGCCGAGACCCCGAAUUACAAUGUGUGCUCCCCGUGCGCGCUUCACCGUGGGUGGACCACCUCGGCUCUGCGCGAAUUUUUCUUCAAUCGUCUACCCUCUCUCGAUGAAUGAUCUCUUUCUACGGCGGGCCAGCCCGAACGGCAGCCUUCAAACGGAUGGAUGGACAGAGGGAGGGAGUGGAGACGAGGUAGAGAGGACUGCUGUCAGCCGGCGAAUGAAAAGCGCUUAAGAAGCUGCGCGGCAUGCACCUAACAAUGACCUUACCUACCUCUGACGCACCAAUUGUUCGUAUACCAAAGUACACCGGCUGAUUCGGCAAAUAUAACGUACGUUAUUUUACGCUAUUCUUCGUACGCGCCUCGUUCUACGCCCGGUUUAUAUACCAAAGCACGCUCCAUGCCAGCCGGGAACACGACUACUUCUUUAUCCUUAUGAUUCGUUUCGAGUUACCGAGAAUCUUUUUCAAUCCCGUUUCGACCGAAGAUCAUUUCUUUCCCAUUUUUUUCCACUUCAAUUAUUCACGCUCGGUAAUUACGAGGCGGUCACCUCUACGCCGAAUCGCUUCAGCAGAAUAUUCUUUGGAAUACGUGAUACGGUUGCGUCGAAUCUCCGAUGGAAACGUAUGGUCGUAUGGGGUUGUGGUUUUUCGAUAGUUAAACUCGAAGGGGAGAUAACGGGAUAAGUGAACAGAUAGAGCGUAACGCGCGAGAAAGAAGGAAUCGGAGAGAGGGUGAAAGAGGACGACUCGAUCCUGGAAGCGAGCGCGCCGCGUGGCUGCGAGAAGGAAAGAUAUAUCCACGAACGUCGGGAUAUUAUAGGUUACCCUGUCUAUCUACCGAAUAGUCCGAACGAUAGUUCGAAACGACGAUGGACCACGCCCUCGGCCUGCCAUCUCCACUUCGACCAACUCUAGACGAUCGAUCCUUUCCUCGCGACAAGCUGGCAAAAAUUACCACACCGCAAAAGUCGAGCACGAAACGGGACAACUGAAUACGCCCCUGGAGCGACCCGAGGCCUGCCUCUCCGGCCAAUCGAUACCAUACCGUGUGUCUCUUCCGUUUGACAGCCUUUGCGACGUUUCUCUCCCUGCUUAUUUCGUUCUUUUUCCUAUUUUUACCAUCUCUCUCUCUCUCUCCCUUCCUCUCCCUCUAUCCUUUCGAUUCUUCCUUCUCGAAACGACAUUUUUCCUUUCUCCUCGAACCGGAACAAGGGGAUGGAUUCGUAUCGCAAGUAAAGCGAAACGAAGCAUGCCUCUCGACGGUCGAUCGCAUUCCUUCGAACGAAAAAAAAAGAAAAAAGAAAAGAAAGAAGAAAAAUAAACGAGCGUGUUAAUCGCUUAUACGACACAUCGGCGUGGCGAACGAUCGAUUGGCCCGAGACAGUCUGAUGUGCACGGGCCCAUGGUUGGUUCCACGUGCCGUCCGCUUGCUCGCUUCCUACCGAUUUCUGAUCUCCACCGUUUCCGCGAAAAGCGUGUGUAACUUAACGAGCAAUUGUUCUCCUUCUAGUUCCUUGCUUUUCGUGAUUAAUCGAAAGUUUCCAAUUGCCGCGCCACUACCGUGUAUCUGCCUGUUAGUUGGCGCGUUCGUUAAGAGCGGCGUAUGCAUAUAUGUGUGUGUGUUUACUUUGCUCGAUCGUUCAUUAAAAUUCGAGCCGAUGCGCGUGUUAUUUCUUCCCGUCACGGUGUUGUAUUGGACUUUGGAGAGAGCUUUUACGAGGAACAGAGCGUAUGCGUGUGCGUAUGUUUACAUGUGCGCCGCGUGUCUACCUUUUGCGAAACGCGCGCCGCGUGUCGCCUUGUUUAUCCAUCGCCGCCAUCGCCGUCGUCGACGCUCUGGUGUGGCGUUGACGAUCCUUUUCCUCGGUUCUCGAAAACGACUACCACGGAAUCUUCGUUUUUUGAGGGGUGAAGCUAGCUAAUCAACUACUACUGUAUUAUCGAUCAGAGAGGGAGGAGAAAAAAAAGGAAAAAAAAAAAAACAGAACAUACCUACGCAUUUAAGAUAAUGUACAAGUCUCUAGUGUGAUACAUUUCUACGCUUAUUCUCUUAACUGUAGUCAUGAAGUCUAAAGUAACGAUACCUCGUUGUGGUUUGUAACGCGGAUUAAAAAAGCAAAAAAAAUAAAAUAAAAAAAGUAGUUCUGUAAUAACAAUAAUAAAGAAAAAAAAAACGAGCAAAAGAAAGCAAAAGAUUAAAAAAAAAAAAAAAAAAAAUGAAUAAGUAAAGGAAUAAAGAAGAAAAAUAACGACGUAAUGAUAAAAAAAAAUCCGCUUAGGCUGACCUUAAACUGAUAAAAAAAAGCGAUAAAAAGCUCGCAAAAGGCGCCAAUGUACUCGUAGAAUGGAAUUGUCCGGCGGCAGACGUCCUAAUUAAUCGCAACAUUUGAAAUUGUAAACGACCGCCAAAAAAAAAAAAUAAAUAAAAUACCGUUCGACUUGUAAGAAAUACUGGAUAAUAAAAAUGAAAACCCAGAGCGUGAGAGAGAGAGAAAGAAAGAAAGAAAGAAAGAACGAGAUAUUUGCGGAUCCAAGAAAUGGAUGAGACGGAUGCGUGGAUCCAGAUGAAUGGAUGACUAUUUGAAAAACACGUGUGGGUUGAUCGAUUCGUCAAACGUAUGUAUGUGUGAAUUUACGCGCAGAGUAUUCGAGGAUGUAGUGUUCGGCAUGUACAUAAUUCUGUAUAUACGAACGAAUCACUGACUGUACAAUACCACCCAAAUAUAUUUAUAUUUCAUGUUAAAACAA